GGACAGGCAAGUCCCGGGGCUGCCUCCUGUCCACCAUCUGGGCUGCUGGCCUGUCUGGCCCAAAGGUCAGUGAGCUGCGGCCUGCAUGGCUUGACUCCUGCUGGGCGGGCCUGGUGACAAGGUCUUGGCAGGGACACACUGCACCGCGCGUGGACCAUGAGGAGGCCGAGGCCGGCACACACCCUACUGUCCGGCAGAGGGCUUCCCUUGAUGGGAACGGCUCCCUCAGAGAAGCCCAGUCCCUCGGAGUCUCUCUUUUUCUCUGUUAAAACAAUGUUGAAAGCUAAUUUGAGAAGAAAGAAGGUGGUGCAGCCCUGCGGUGGCCCAGCCGCGUUCCACGCUGCCUGUCCCUUCCCAGUGUGAGCUCCGCCCACUGCACCGCCUGUCCCUUCCCACAGUGUGAGCUCCGCCCACCGCUGCCCAUCAAGUGGCCUCAAGUGCCAGGAGGAGCAAGGACCUUGCCAAGGUGCACGUGCAGUGGUGGUGGCCACUGCCCACAGACGCGCAGGGCUCUCCGCGGGGCUGACCGGGGCGCGCAGUGGCCGUAGUACCGCAUCCAUCGUCUUGCUCCGGCCAGCCAGCCUCGGCCCCCCAGCUUGAUAAAGGGGGCCAGUGACAACCUCACAGCUGGUUGUGUGGGCCCAGGGUGAUGCAGGGAGGGUCCACACCUGGAGCUGAGCUGCCCCACAGGUGCAUCUCUUCCCUGUGUCCCCGCAGCCCAUUUCUUGGUCAUUUUAAUCC
rnacentral:lncRNA from 1 species